rnacentral:rRNA from 1 species
CUUAGUACGGCGAGUGAAGCGGUAAAAGCUCAAAUUUGAAAUCUGGUACUUUCAGUGCCCGAGUUGUAAUUUGUAGAAUUUGUCUUUGAUUAGGUCCUUGUCUAUGUUCCUUGGAACAGGACGUCAUAGAGGGUGAGAAUCCCGUUUGGCGAGGAUACCUUUUCUCUGUAAGACUUUUUCGAAGAGUCGAGUUGUUUGGGAAUGCAGCUCAAAGUGGGUGGUAAAUUCCAUCUAAAGCUAAAUAUUGGCGAGAGACCGAUAGCGAACAAGUACAGUGAUGGAAAGAUGAAAAGAACUUUGAAAAGAGAGUGAAAAAGUACGUGAAAUUGUUGAAAGGGAAGGGCAUUUGAUCAGACAUGGUGUUUUUUGCAUGCACUCGCCUCUCGUGGGCUUGGGCCUCUCAAAAAUUUCACUGGGCCAACAUCAAUUCUGGCAGCAGGAUAAAUCAUUAAGAAUGUAGCUACUUCGGUAGUGUUAUAGCUUUUUGGAAUACUGUUAGCCGGGAUUGAGGACUGCGCUUCGGCAAGGAUGUUGGCAUAAUGGUUAAAUGCCGCCCGUCUU